rnacentral:ncRNA from 1 species
AAGGCGGCCCGGGCCCCUCUGGCAAGACACGUCUUGUGAUGUCGGUCCGCAUCG